rnacentral:rRNA from 1 species
UACGUAGGGUGCGAGCGUUAAUCGGAAUUACUGGGCGUAAAGGGCGCGUAGGCGGCCUUCUAAGUCGAACGUGAAAUCCCUGGGCUUAACCCAGGAACUGCGUCCGAUACUGGAAGGCUUGAAUCCGGGAGAGGGAUGCGGAAUUCCAGGUGUAGCGGUGAAAUGCGUAGAUAUCUGGAGGAACACCGGUGGCGAAGGCGGCAUCCUGGACCGGCAUUGACGCUGAGGCGCGAAAGCCAGGGGAGCAAACGGG